ACUCAAGUGGCGGACGGGUGAGUAACACGUAAGAAUUUACCUUUAGGAGGGGGACAACAAACGGAAACAGUUGCUAAUACCCCAUAUGCUUUCGAGUGAAACGGAUUUUUCCGCCUAUAGAGAAGCUUGCGGCUGAUUAGCUUGUUGGUGAGGUAAUGGCUUACCAAGGCGACGAUCAGUAUCUGGUUUGAGAGGACGAUCAGACACACUGGAACUGAGACACGGUCCAGACUCCUACGGGAGGCAGCAGUGGGGAAUUUUCCGCAAUGGGCGAAAGCCUGACGGAGCAAUCUCGCGUGAGGGAUGACGGCCUAUGGGUUGUAAACCUCUUUUUUCAGGGAGGAAUAAAUGACGUGUACCUGAAGAAUAAGCAUCGGCUAACUCCGUGCCAGCAGCCGCGGUAAGACGGAGGAUGCAAGUGUUAUCCGGAAUCACUGGGCGUAAAGCGUCUGUAGGUGGUUUAAUAAGUCAACUGUUAAAUCUUAAAGCUUAACUUUAAAAUCGCAGUCGAAACUAUUAAACUAGAGUAUAGUAGGGGUAAAGGGAAUUUCCAGUGGAGCGGUGAAAUGCGUAGAGAUUGGAAAGAACACCGAUGGCGAAGGCACUUUACUGGGCUAUUACUGACACUCAGAGACGAAAGCUAGGGUAGCAAAUGGGAUUAGAUACCCCAGUAGUCCUAGCCGUAAACAAUGGAUACUAGAUGUUGAACAGAUCGACCUGUGCAGUAUUAAAGCUAACGCGUUAAGUAUCC
rnacentral:rRNA from 1 species